AUGUGCAUGAAUAGAUAGAUAAAUAAAUCAUUACGUUUGACAACAUGAAGAGUUAUCUUGUGUGUUUUGUUUUCUAUAUUAUAAUAAUUGUGGGAGUUGAGUCAAAAUUUGUAGGAAACAUAAAUGGAGUAGGAAAUGCUAUUGUGAAUAGUGAAAGCAUUCUCGAUGUUUUUCAAGAAAAUGAUUAUGAUUUAAUUGGAUCUAAAUUCCUUCGUGACCUAACCCGGAUACGAAGGCGGCUACGCAAACCUCAAGAUGAUUAUGAGGAUUCAGCUGAAGAAGGUGGCUUUGCAUCUUUAAAUAAUCAACCUGAAGAUGGUCAUAAUUUCAUGGCUAAUGUUACAAAGUGUCCUGCUGGUCAAGUCAAGUCUCCUUGGGGAAAAUGUAUGACAUGUGCUGAAUUAAUAAAGAAAAAAUUGAGAAGAGCUGGUGAUAAGGAGUGUGGCAUAUAACAUUGAAUCACGUACAGAUUUAGUUAAUAAAUUACAACUUAAUAAAACAAUAAAAAGUUUUUAAUACUUUGAUUUUAAAAAGAAGUACAUGUUAUAUUUUAUAAUAUGGAAAUAAAUAAGUUUGGUGUGAGCUAACAUUUUUGAUUUUACAAGAUGACAAAAACUAGAUUCGUCGUAGUAUUUUUGUCUGAUAAUCAGUUUCUCUGCUUUAUUUUUUAGCACUAGCCACUAGCACGCAUUUAUAUUGAAAACUAUAGUCAAGUGUACAUUAACUACUUGACGGCAUAAAAUGUCAACCUGUUGUACCCAUCUAGAGGGCAUCGCAAAAUUGCAAUAAAAUUCCUUUAUUUUGAAAAAAUCUUAUAACAAGAAUCUUAGUUAGUUUCGGAAUAUUUAUAUUUCUUUAUAAUAAAUUAUUUUUAGGAUUAUCUACAGCACAAAUGAGGGUCAAACUGAAAGGAAAAAAACUGAUUAAAAUAGCACAUAGUUUUGUUUUACUAUAUGUUUUCAAAAUAGUGACCAUUCACGUCAAUACAUGACUGCAUCCGAUGGAACCACUGAGAAAAGCACUUUGCCCACGCGUCCCUAGGGGUCUCAGAUGGCCUUUGGAAACUUAGCCACAGCUGGUAAAAUAAAAAUAAAAAUCGCAAGUUGCGAAGUCGAAGGACUAUAUGGGGAUGACCCAGUAAGUAAUUUUAGGUGUGACGUCACCAAAUAGUCGAUACUUCGUCUGGCGAUGUGCGACAAGGUGUUUUCGAGGUGAAGAAGGAUUCUACUUCGACGCCAUUUCUCCCGAAGUUUUCCAAGAUAAGUGGAAUAGAAUUUUUAAUGUAUCACUUUGCAGUAACUGUUUUUCGGUUCUCUAAAAGAAUUGCCACGUCCUUGCGAAGAACGAGGCCACCAUCUUUUUUCCCACACUUCGACCUUUUUUUACUAUAGUUGGCAACUUCUCAGAAGAAAACCCCAUUGAAUAGACUGUUUUGGUUUUGGCAUAAUAAUAGUCAGUCCAGCUUUCGUCGCCAGUAAGUAUAUUAAACACAGCAUUUGAGUCGCUUUCAUUACAUUGCCAUUUUAGGCCACCAAUUAACACGACGGAGUUUUCUUGUCUUAGUCAAAUCUUAAUCUUAUAAAGGUUAUUCUUUAUUUUUAGUUCUUCUACAUAUCUAUGAAAUAGCAUUAUUUGAAAAAACUAACCCUGAAACAUUUGUCAAAACAUCUGAAAUCCACAAUAUAAAUUUGAGAAGCAAGAAUACAUUACGUUUACAUGGCAGUAACACAGCUUCUAUGUACAAUAGUGUUCUUGAAAUGGUGCCGAGAAUAUUUAACAAUAUACCUACACAUAUCACAGAACUUAAGUUGACAUGUUUUAAAAAGAAGCUAUUUAAUCUCCUACUGAUAAAAUCGUACUAUUCCAUAAAAUACUUUUUUUCAGAUUUUAUUCAGAUUUUUUACCAAUUUCAAUUAUUAUAUGUUAUUUCAAAAUAUUCAAUUAUUGAUAUGUAUAUCAAUUAACUGUCAUUGUGUAUAUAUAUAUAUUUGUUUGACUUGUUAUUAAUUACUAUUUGUACGCCACAGCAUGCGGGCAAAGAAUGGAGAACUUUUAUUGUGAUUUGUAACAUCUAUGUAUACCCAUGACUACAAAUAAAUGAUCUUAUCUUAUCUUUUAUCGCUCUACUAUACGCCGAACGACACCAAUUUUAUCCUCAGUCGUGGCCUGAGAAGUUUAUACACGAGAUCGGCAUCUUCAGGAGAUGUGGAGUCAUCGAUUUCUGAAACCAGACGUAGUCCCGAAUUGGAUUGACAUGUAUGUAAAUUGCCCCAAACUACGACGGAGCCUGAUGCAAUGGGUGCAAGGUAAUAAUAUAUUGUAAUACAAUAUACAUGCAUAUACACAUUUUUAAUAUAAAUGCAUCUACCGGGAUUCGAACCCGGGACACUUACUCGGUAAUUUUUAGAUGUUACACGCUAAUAUAACGACGUAAAACGUUCGGCUUUAUUGGAGACAUAAAUGUGAUAGGUACUUAAAAUUAUCACUGCAAAGCUUGGUUUUAUGUUGAAGAUAAGGGUAACCCUUGAUAAACUUAUUAAUUAUGGAUACGCAUAUUAAUUUAGCAUCUGCUUUGUCCUUAUGAUGUAUUAUAACAGAAAGAUAUUUAGUACCCAAGUAAUUUGAUGAAUAAAAAAGAUUUGUACAUUGUACAAUGUGCAGGUAGUUUAAUUAAAAAUACUCCAAUUAGGAAGUUGAUCGGAAGAUCACACUAGUUUAAACGGCCAAAAUAACAAAAGAAUUAACACAAACUUCAACAAGACUAAAUUAAUAAUUUAGCUUUAAGAACAACAUCUCAAAUAAAUACCACGAAUUAAAAUAACUUAUUUAAACGUAUGAAUAUAAUCGCAAAAUGUCAACGUGUCCACUGCAUCCUGAAGAUGUCAAAGUAAAAUUGUAUAAAACUUAGCCGUUUAUUGCCAUUACCUGAAUGAACGAAUAAACGAAAUUAGAAAUGCAGCUAUGUGGAAAGGCAAAUCAAAAUUCAGUUAAUCUAUCCACAGUUUCUGUUAGUAUUACGACAGUAGAUUAAACAAAAGAUUUUUUUAUCUUGGAUUACGAAGUCCAUAGUUUAAAUUUCUUUUGAUCAUCGGGCCCAAGACUAAUACACGCAUCGCAGUUUUGAGUUACAUAGGGUUGCACUUUUCAAAAUUUUUAUAACUACCUAUCUAAUUAAAUUUUCUGGACAUCCAUUAAUUUUGAACAGAAUUUCUUCAUAGCAGCCGAUUUUGUCGUUUUUAUCA